CAACACGACAGACCACCGCCCGACGCUC
rnacentral:piRNA from 1 species